GGCAAUUCUAAUCUUUUCCAUGAUAUGACAAGAAGGGAUUUGUGAAAACUUGCAAGGAAGCCAUGGUCCAAAACUCCAAACCCGUGUCUUUGAAUCAUCACAUUGAUGCCCCAUUCUUUCAGAAAAUGGUACAAAACAAUGAGGUCAUAGCCACAUCAAGUACCCCAGAACAACCAUCAAAGAGAGAACUUUGACUACAUAUACAAAGGCAAAAGAAGAUGGAUUCAGGAGGAACCAGUGCACCUGCGCACUUUUUGACCGUUAAGAUAUGAGAGUUUGGGGAUUGGGAUGAGGAUCCUCCGUUAAAAAAGCUUCUGAUAGCUCUCGAUGUGGUGGGAGAGGCGGUAGUUGGCCAAAAAAGUGAAGUCCGCAAGAGAAGAUAGAAGGCAAGAGAAGAUAGAAGGCAAGAGUUACUGUUAUGAGAGAAGAAUGCUAGGAGAAAAAAAAAAAAGAAAGAGACAAUUUAUGAUUAAAAACAUUUAAUAUUAUAAA